UAACGUUCAUAGGAUUUAGGUGCCCAUAGUAUUUAGGUACGUAUGGGUGAAAAGGGAAUCUGGUGAGAAUCCAGAGCGAAGCCGUCACUGUGUUAGGGAGUUCGCUUUCAUAUCACUGAGUAUUCUUGGGAAGAGAAAGCGUGCGAUGAUCGAAGUCAGGAGACCUGCCUAUUUCUUAAAAUUAUG
rnacentral:ncRNA from 1 species